GAGGAAGAGUCCCCCACACUGGUACUGAGACACGGACCAGACUCCUACGGAAGGCAGCAG
rnacentral:rRNA from 1 species